ACAGCUUUGGGUAUGCCCGUGGUCACCUGGGGGUGACAGUGGUAUCCGUAGGCCUCCCUUUCUCUCUUUGCCUGAUCACAGGCAGGUGUGUAUUCCAUUGAAUGCUUUAUUACUUUAAACAGUGCCCUGCACAUAAAUUGCUUGUAUUUAAUCCUUUCAAAUUGUGGAGUGGUUUCUGAGGUUGGGACAGUACCCCCCCUCCACCUUAUCCACAGGGGAUACAUUCCAAGGCCCCCAACAGACACAUGAAAAUGGCCAGUAUGCAACCCCAUAUAUACUAUGUUUUUUUUCCUAUAUACAUACCUAUGAUAAAGUUUAGCUUAUGAAUCGGGCACAGUUAGGAUUAGCAACAAUAAUAAUAAAACAGAACAAUUAACAAUAUACUGUAAUACAUUAUGGGAAUGUGGUUUCUCUCUCUCAACCUCUCUCAGAAUAACUCCUCGUACAGUAUUCACCCUUCUUGUGUUGGUGACAUGACAUGAAAAAUGCCUUUGUGGUGAGAUAAAUGGGGGGAAUGACACAGACAUUGUGACAAAGCGUUAGGCUAGUAUUGCUCUUCCACGGAUGCCUCAGAAGGAGGACCUCUGCUCCCUGACUAUCGUUGACUGCAGUCUUCAGCUCUCAGAAGAUUAGUGAAAGAUGAUGGCUGAUCUGGAGCCUCUUCGCUGAGGACAAAACGAGAUAGAUGACGCUUUGGAGCCAUCUUUCUGGGGCAACAGAGAACGGAGGUCCCUUUUUGAGAAGACCUGAGACAAUGAUGUGCUUCCAUGCCAGAAUGGGAAGAAAUGGUCCAAGAGAGCAAACCAGAAGUAAGAGCGAAAGUGAAGGGGAGCAGUGGGCUUGACGUCCAUUUUGAUAUCACUGAGGCCCAGGUAGAUCUUUCUGCUUUGAGAUGAACUGCUGUAGUAUAUCCCGCUGCUGGACAGAAGUGGUAAGAACCUCCUCUGCCCAGGCAGUGGAAUGACUCUUUGGCCAGCCAACUUGACAUUCAUUGAUUCUCCUAUCGGAACGAUGUUCCUGUUCAAUUUCCUCCAUAGUCACCCCUGACAUGUUUACUGGGAGAUGAAAUGUGAUCCUUUUGGGAAGCAGAGCUUUUGUGAUCCACUUCCUGAUGUAACAAAUACCAAGGUCAAGGCUUAGGGGUUAGGCAUGUAGGCUAUUGUCAGACAACCUGGGGCUUUCUUUGGCAAUAGAGGUCCCUUAAAAGCUUAGGAGUUUCAUCUCUUUGCUUCUAGGAAUUUCAGUGGGCACGCAGGUACCCAGAGUUAGGUGUCUUCUCUGCCUCUGUGCCAUGUUCACUCCCCUGGCAUAAAGUUUAACUUCCUCACCUUGGAUUAUUUCAAGCGUUGGAUCAUUUGCAAAAGCAGCAACAAUAAUCCUCUCCUUGACCCCAUACUUCAUUCUAGAUACAGCUUUCCAGGGAACAGGGAGUACUUACAAGAAGGUGGCAGAAAGAGGCCUGUGACAACAGGCUCAUCUUUCCCCUCAGUGUUGUCUGUUUCUCAGUCUUCUGCAUCUUCCGUGUCUAACUGUAGCUUGGGUGGACAACACAGCCUUUCUGACCUUGAACAUCUCCAGAUUCUUGGCCCUGCAUUCAACUUGGAUUUUAGGGCAAGAGCACAAAAGGCCUCCUUUUAAUCAAGCUGUGUGGUUUUCUCUCUCUGCUUUUGGAGUUCAGUUAAGCGUAAACUUACCUCUUGUAAGACCUUGCUGAUGGCUAAAAGAAGUGGUUAAAAGCAUACCAACAGCCUGCAUUUUUCUACCACUUCUCCUAACGAAUCAGUCUCCUCUGGCACAUCGUCUCUGCCCUAAAGUAUAAUCAGCUGCAUUUCAGUACAGUGUUCCCCAGCUAUAUCACUAGAGUAAGUCAUUUGCUAAAUGGGGGUAACAGACCCUCCUAACUGAUAGACAUAGAGGACUGGGCCGUGCUGGGAGUGACUUUGGUCUGCUAUGCAAAUCUGUGCUGGCUGUUUCUAUUAGGAUUACCUUGGGCUGCAAGUAACAAUAAAACAGAGCAAAGGUGGCUUACAUCUGUAAGGAUAUUUAUUAUGUACAGCAAAUGACAAGUCUGGGGACAAGUGAUCCCAGGGUUGACUGAGAGGACUGGCAGUGACAGGAAGGGCUCUGUGUCUGCACCCUGAGAUGCUCUUGGCCUUUCACUAAGAGUGACAAGAUGAUCCCUGAAAUGUUAAGCAACACGUUCUGAGGUGAUGGCAUCCCAGGCAGGCAGUAAGGGCGAGGGUGGCAAGGGGGCUAUUUCUCCUCCAGUACUCUUCCUUUUAUUAUGAAAGAAAAGGUCCCUCAGCAGAUGUCCCCUCAGUCUCACUGGCCAGACUGGGACACCUACCCUUGUCCAGCACAACCACCGGUGGAGACGUCUGGGAUUACCUGGCCAGCUUAAACCACGCCCCCCAGGAUGUGAAAAUGUCACUCUUCUCCAAGUCUUCCGCUGCCCACCUGCUACCAACAAAAUACAGCUCUGUUUGCAAGGAAGAUGGAGAGGUGGCUGAGGGAAGGGUGUCUGCCACAGAGCUCUAGAGGGGAAGUCCCUGAGGUGUGGAGGAGCAAAUGUCAGCUGUCUGUGGAAGCCUUCGGGAGGCACGCGAAGUAAGGAUUUAUGACCUGCGUCAAAUUUCUGAUCCCCUGCUUGAGAGGCCUUAGCGUGAGGUGAAGACAGCAGAAGAGGAAAACAACUCUGCAAGAAAGGGAAAGGGCAGGGCCCAGGGGUGGGACAUUAAGGAAUAAAGAUGGAAGGGGAAACGGGAAAUCGGAGCGCACAGGGAGGCCGGAGCGAGACUUUUUGUGACUGUUGCUUUCAUAGGGGAAGGAUUAUGAAGAGUCUUAGCAAUUUCUUCUGGGGAAGAAGAGGGAUGUCGGGGCUGAGGAAACCCAAAGGCAGAAAGCCUGUGGGCGGGGUUCAGGCCAGGCUGGGGGUGGAAUCUGAACCUUGUACGGUUGGAAGGGACUUCUUUAAGAAAACGUAAAAAAAAAAAGUACAAAAUGCAUAAAAUGAGGUUUCAAAGCAAACAUUCAUUUAGAGUGUAGAAAGAAACCCGACUUAAAGUUGUAACUUAAGUUUGUAACUUACAACUAAAGUUUGUCUCUUAAAGUUACGAACUUUUAGAAUAUGACAAUCAGAAAAACGACAUUGUUUUUAUUAGCUGGCUGACACGCCCCUUUAAUCAUCUUUCCUUCAAGUUUUAUCCAUACACUCAAUACCCCUUCAUAUUAAGGACAACGGACACUGUUUUUUAUAAUGAGCACAGAAGGAUAAUUCAGUCACGGAGGAGCACAGCCGGUGAACAAAGAGUAUUCUCCGUUCUGGUUGGGAUGCAUGAGGCGUGUGACCUCACCCUCGCAUGUCCUCACGGCUGGGUGCGCCGCUUUCAGGCCUGUGUCCCACAAACGUGGGCCUCCCGUUAAACUCGCCUCCACGCAGUUCCAUUCAGAAAAGGGAAAAACAGGGGCGCUUGGGUGGCGCAGUCGGUUAAGCGUCCGACUUCA